UGGGGAAUAUUGGACAAUGGAGGGAACUCUGACCCAGCCAUGCCGCGUGCAGGAUGAAGGCGUUAUGCGUUGUAAACUGCUUUUAUAUAGGAAGAAAUAGUCCUUGCGAGGAAAGUUGACGGUACUAUAUGAAUAAGCACCGGCUAACUCCGUGCCAGCAGCCGCGGUAAUACGGAGGGUGCAAGCGUUGUCCGGAUUUAUUGGGUUUAAAGGGUGCGUAGGUGGCCCUGUAAGUCAGUGGUGAAAUAUCUCAGCUUAACUGAGAGGGUGCCAUUGAUACUGCAGGGCUUGAGUACAGAUGAGGUAGGCGGAAUUGACGGUGUAGCGGUGAAAUGCAUAGAUAUCGUCAAGAACACCGAUAGCGAAGGCAGCUUACCAAGCUGUAACUGACACUGAGGCACGAAAGUGUGGGGAUCAAACAGGAUUAGAUACCCGGGUAGUCCCUGAGCGGGCUGGCAAGGCGCAU
rnacentral:rRNA from 1 species